GCAGACGGGUGAGUAAUGUAUAGGAAUCUACCUAGUAGUACGGAAUAAUUGUUGGAAACGACAACUAAUACCGUAUACGCCCUACGGGGGAAAAAUUUAUUGCUAUUAGAUGAGCCUAUAUUAGAUUAGCUAGUUGGUGGGGUAAUAGCCUACCAAGGUAAUGAUCUAUAGCUGAUCUGAGAGGAUGAUCAGCCACACUGGAACUGAGAUACGGUCCAGACUCCUACGGGAGGCAGCAGUGGGGAAUAUUGGACAAUGGGCGAAAGCCUGAUCCAGCCAUGCCGCAGAGUGAAGAAGGCCUUUGGGUUGUAAAGCUCUUUUAGUGAGGAAGAUAAUGACGGUACUCACAGAAGAAGUCCUGGCUAACUCCGUGCCAGCAGCCGCGGUAAUACGGAGAGGGCUAGCGUUAUUCGGAAUUAUUGGGCGUAAAGGGCGCGUAGGCUGGUUAAUAAGUUAAAAGUGAAAUCCCGAGGCUUAACCUUGGAAUUGCUUUUAAAACUAUUAAUCUAGAGAUUGAAAGAGGAUAGGGGAAUUCCUGAUGUAGAGGUAAAAUUCGUAAAUAUUAGGAGGAACACCAGUGGCGAAGGCGUCUAUCUGGUUCAAAUCUGACGCUGAAGCGCGAAGGCGUGGGGAGCAAACAGGAUUAGAUACCCUGGUAGUCCACGCUGUAAACGAUGAAUGUUAAAUAUGGGGAGUUUACUUUCUGUAUUACAGCUAACGCGUUAAACAUUCCGCCUGGGGACUACGGUCGCAAGAUUAAAACUCAAAGGAAUUGACGGGGACCCGCACAAGCGGUGGAGCAUGUGGUUAAUUCGAUGCAACGCGAAAACCUUACCACUUCUUGACAUGAAAAUCAAACCUUUC
rnacentral:rRNA from 1 species